UAAUAAGUCAUAAAAGUGGGCCACUUCACACAUUGUUAUUAGUGAGACACGUGAUGGUGCUGAUAUACCGCCACACAGACCAAGGAACUCCAUGUUACUACUGCAAGUGUCCUGGCUUCCAUCAUCACCAUGAUGUCCGUCGGUCAUUUUGUUAUCUUGUCGCUUGUGUACGGAAUCAUGGAGGUAAUGGCUGGUGGUACGGUGUACAUCCGGUUUCUCUCUUACUCCAACCCCUCACACAAAGACGCCACAGGCCAGUGCUGUGAGAGUCUGAGUACCAGCGGAUGUGGUGCCAACGAGUGUGAUCCGUUCUUCAAAAUAUGUGUGGGACUUCUGUCCAGUUCUGGGUGUGAGUACGGUAGUGUGAAGACAGAGGUGUACGACAAUACGGACACCAUCAGGUUCGGCAAUGUCAUCAGAACCAUGCCUAAUCCCAUCGUAAAGACAUUCAACAAUUGGGGGUCCGGAAUACACGUGAAAGUAGACGUACUUGACAGAGAUGGGACGACUUUUUUGGGUAGUGAUGACCUAAUCGGAUCAGUAGAUCACCAAAUAACAGGACCUGUUGACCAAAACGGCAUACUGCUGCACAAUACCACCAAGCCUAUCAAAGGAGGGGCAGCUGAAUUGGUUAUACAGUACAGAAUUGUGUGUGAGCAGCAUUACUAUGGCGACUGUUCCGUAUCGUGUCGACCAUUGCUACCCAAGUACAACUGUAGUAGUAGCGGCCAAAAACUAUGCUUACCAGGAUGGGUGGGAUUCCGGUGUAGUAUACCAGACCACUCCUGUGUAACAAAACCUUGUCACAAUGGUGGUACUUGUACAGAUAUCCCAACCAACAAAUACCUAUGUACCUGUCUGAACGGAUGGACAGGACAGACCUGCGAGACGUUUGCGCUGCCUCCAUCAACGAAGACAACCAUUGUCACUUCCAAAACGUCAACACAAACAGCCGUGACGUCAUCAACUCCGUCUACAAUACAAGGAGCAGUUACGUCAUCAGCACAGAAACUAGACACGUCAACAUCCCAAAGACAAUCCAUGUCAACAACACAAAAACGAUCGACAUCGACAACAAAGAAAGCACUGACGUUAACAACACAGGAACAAACUACGUCUUCAACACAAGGACAUAAUAUUAAUAAUACGCUGUUUUCCUCAACACCACAAACAGUUUCACAAAAUGUUUCUUCAAAAACAGCAACAUCCGACACUAAAAGUACAUCUUCUUGGCUGGUAAAUAGUACGUCGCCUGAAGCCACAACGUCCAACAUAGCAACGCCCACAACACCAAGCCAAAAUACUACAGGUGCAUCAUGUCACUUUAAGAUGGCUUCCAGCCUUAUAAAUGGAACAAACAUUACCCGGGUACAGCUCUCUGGCAUCAACAGGAAGGAGUUGACUGCUGCAGAUGUAAAACGAAUACUAGAACAAACGGUCCAUCCUACCAGUCUUCGUCCGGUAUCACUCGACGAUAGUGUCAUGGUUUUUGACAUGGAAAUAACCUACAACGUGUCUACGAUUACCAGCAAGCUCCUUCCACGUGUACAGAGAGAAUUGUGUCGAAUGGAAACAAAGGUUCUGCCACAGGUCGGGAGGCCAGUGAAGCCGGGGAGGCGAGCUCCGAUAACUCCGAUAACUCCGAUAACUCCGGGCCAGUUAUUGGUGGGGUACUAGGAGCUCUCUUCCUCAUCGCUAUCCUCGGUGUGGCCGCGUUCUUCUUAUACAGAUGGAAUAAGAAAAGAAAUAAAGUGACGGGUGAAAAGAUUGACAACGAGUGCUCUUCAACGAGUGAAAUACGGAACAAGAUCUCGG
rnacentral:misc_RNA from 1 species